rnacentral:rRNA from 1 species
UACGUAGGCAGCAAGCGUUGUUCGGAAUUACUGGGCGUAAAGAGUGUGUAGGCGGUGCUCUAAGUUCGGUGUGAAAUCUCCCGGCUCAACUGGGAGGGUGCGCCGAAAACUGGAAUGCUUGAACAUGGGAGAGGAAAGCGGAAUUCCUGGCGUAGCGGUGAAAUGCGUAGAUAUCAGGAGGAACACCGGUGGUGUAGACGGCUUACUAGACCAUGACUGACGCUGAGGCACGAAAGCGUGGGUAGCAAACAGG